UUUCAUGAUGAAGAAGAGCUACAAGCUCGACAUAAUCCCAGCUCGUCGACAGCAGUCUCACCCAAAAUCUCACGUUUAGAGGCUGUUAUGAGAGGAAGUCCAACCCUGACAC
rnacentral:snoRNA from 1 species